UUCCUGUCACUGAGUCAGUAGAGCAUUUUACUAGCAAUGUAAAGGUUGUGGGUUCAAACCCCAGAGGAAG